rnacentral:rRNA from 1 species
ACUACGGGUGGCAGCAGUGAGGAAUAUUGGUCAAUGGACGAGAGUCUGAACCAGCCAAGUAGCGUGAAGGAUGACUGCCCUAUGGGUUGUAAACUUCUUUUAUAUGGGAAUAAAAUGUUCCACGUGUGGGAUUUUGUAUGUACCAUAUGAAUAAGGAUCGGCUAACUCCGUGCCAGCAGCCGCGGUAAUACGGAGGAUCCGAGCGUUAUCCGGAUUUAUUGGGUUCAAAGGGGGGGUAGGUGGCUUGUUAAGGCAGGUGUGAAAGUUUGCGGCUCAACCGUAAAAUUGCAGUUGAAACUUGCAGUCUUGAGUGCAGUAGAGGUGGGCGGAAUUCGUGGUGUAGCGGUGAAAUGCUUAGAUAUCACGAAGAACUCCGAGUGCGAAGGCAGUUCACUGGACUGCAACUGACACUGAGGCUCGAAAGUGUGGGUAUCAAACAGGAUUAGAUACCCCAGUAGUC